CCGAGAAUAGCUCAGCGGUAGAGCGGGAGACUGUAGUCAUCUGUCAUCUCUAGGUCCCUGGUUCAAAUCCGGGUUCUCGGA
rnacentral:tRNA from 1 species